ACUUGCUUUUAAAGAAUUAAACAUAUCCUCUAGGUUGAAGGCAAAGGCAGCUGUUGCUGUCUCUGUUUCUGUCCUGCUCUUCUGUUUUGUCCUUAUGGGGAUUAGGUUUCUUAUGGAGAAGGAGAGAUGCAUUCUGAACAGAGAUGGUUCUGAAAAACAGGACCGAAAGGGCUAAGUCACACUUGCUUAGUUUCUUUAGAAAGGUUUUAGAAUCUCCUGUUUUUCCUCUUCUUCUUAAGGAGGAACUAUAAAAAUGGGGAGGAGAGGCCAAUUAUUUCCAUGGAAAUACAAAAAUGGGAAGAAGGGGGUCCUUCCGAUCCUUUUACAAACUUUUCACUCCAUAACAAAGGAACAAUUAGUCCUUCAGUACUUUCUUGUGUGCAAAGAGCUCUCUCUCUUUUCUCUGUUUCUCUUCAUCUAAUUUUUACUAAUGUAGGCCUUUGCCAUUUAUCUGUGACCCAUGAUGGCAUCUUCUAAAAUAUGCAUAGUUUCUACAGUGUCAAUAUUUGAAAAGAAGACUUGUUUUCUCUUAAAUUCCAUGCCUGUUGGUAUUUUCUUGUGUCUAGCAGCACAAGGCAAGUUAUCUGCCUUUUUCAUCUCACAUUAAAGUUUUAUCUCUCACUUGAGGAUCGUUUCUCUCAAAGAAACAAAGGUUUUAUCACUCACUAGAGUAACUGUGUACACAAGAUGAAUAGAGAACAACAAACCCAUGUUGAGAUGCUGAUGUUGGGCAGUUAGCUAGACAAUUGAACUGAGCAAUACAGAUCUGUGUAAGAAAGGCAUUCAGCUCAUUUCUGAAUAUGUGAAACUUCAGUUAAGUCUGACUUCCUGGGGAUCCAUGCCAUAGCGUUUAUCUCUCUGUAUCUUCAGUAAAUGUUCAUGUCUUUUUCUCUUUCACCAUCUUGAGUCCCAUGUCUUUUUUAAAGGAAUAAAGUCCCAAAUAUAGUAGCGCAUUACAGAAACUCAUUAUUUGUUGAAUGAAUGAAUGAAGGGUCAUUUAUCAAAGCAGCAUAGUACUCAUUUUGAGCACAUCUCAUGUAACCACUUUUGGACCAGGUCAUUUUAAAGAAAUGUCCAUGAGGCAGAGCAUAUCCUAACUCUAGGUGUAUAUUUAUUCUUUGUCUGCAGAAUGUAGAGUAAGCACAACUAAGAGUUUGUGGAUAGGGACAAUCCUACCCUCUGUGUUUUCAAGUAUAAAAGAAGUUUGCUGUGUUGUACAUACUGGAUCAACAUGACUGGGUUAUUGAGUUUCUGUAGGGGUCCUAUCACUCAGAAGCCCUAACCUCUGGAGUCCUGUGCUAUUAUGUAGAGAAAUACAAAGGGUUGUAAUGGGAAAACAAUGCCUUAUUGUUUUCCUUCUCAGGGUCUUAGGAAAAACACUAAGUGUGUUCUAUAAAGAUCUCCACCAAAUUCUUCUACUUCCUGUUGUAGGUCUGGCUAGAAUUGGGUUCUGAGGCCUGGAGCAGAGGAAGAUUAUCUCAUUGAGAUCAGGGGAUGUCAGAACCUGAGUUAGAAAAGUAAGGGUCUGUAUUAGCUUCCUACAACUGCUGCAAUAGAUUACCACAAACUGGGGAGGCUAAAAGCAACCAGAAUUUCUCUUUUUGUAGUUCUGAACAUCAGAAAUCUGAAAUUAAGGCAUCUGCAGGCUUGGUUCCUUUUGGAGGCUUGGAGGGACAAUCUGUUCCACGACUCUCUACUAACUUCUGGUGCCUCCUGGAAAUCUUGACUUUUUUGGCUUGUAGACACAUCACUCCAGUGUUAGCGUGCACCAUCACAUGGAGGUUCUCCUGGAAUGUGCGUGUCCAAGUUUCCCUCUGUUUGUAAGGAUACUAUUCAUUGGAUAAGGACCUACCCUAAUCUAGUAUUAUCUCAUUUUUUAUUUGAUUACAUCUGCAAAAACACAUUUCAAAAAAAGUUCAUAUUCUGAUGUUCUGGGUAGAUGUGAAUUUUUGGAAGACACUAUUCAACCCAGUACAGGGUCCAAGAAGCUAGAAGAGAAUUCCAUUAAAGCAACUGGAGUCUAGGUUCAGGAUACUGUACCUGCCCCAAAAAACCAGGAAACCAAAGCCAAGGAGAAGAGAGCAAGUGUAAACAUUUCCACAUUAAGGGGUGGAUAGGGAUUAGGCAUAGAUCCUGUGAUGAAUAUAUUGGACCCCCUACAAGAUUUUCUUGUUGUCCCUGGCCUGCAUUGCAUGGACACAGAUGUAAAGUUAGGCAUGAUUUUGUUUCCCAGACAUGUCCACUUACAUAGAAUUAUCAGUGAGCAAUGUAGACUUUACUGAAGAUGUUAUGGAGGAGGGCUUUGUACAUUGUACUCCGCAGCAAACAAUUUAAAAUUCAUAGCACAUGUUUUAUUAUUUUUCCUUCUAAAAUGUCACUGACAGUUUAUCUUUCUUGCUUUCCUCUCUUCUAAUUCCAGAGUCUAUCUGAAGUUCUUCUUCCUAGGUUACAAAAAACAAUUGAAUUCUCCCUCUGGCUCUUACUGCAAAUGUGUACAUCCUUAUUUACCAAUGCUCUCUAGAACAAAACUCUGCUAUUACCAUUAUUUAGCCUUAUCAGAAGACAGUCAGGAUUAGUGAGUGCAAAUACUUGUUUCUCAUUGUAUCCCUAAACUGGAUUGUUAGCUAUUUUGACAGCAAGGGCAAUUAUUUUCAUCUCACGGGCACUGUAGCACCAAGCAUGUUACUUCCCACAUGUUAGGAACUUAAUAAAUGCUGGUUAGUAAUAACCAUUAUUAUUAAUACUGUUGAUGUGUAAUAAUACUAAUACCAUUGAUGUAUAAGUCUGUAUUUUUUGGUUUCCAUUAAAAGUUUGUGGUGCUAUAGAGAUAUCAAAACUUGAGCUUUUGAAGUGCCAGGUUUCUAAAGAAGUUGUUGAAAGGGUGGGAAAUAAUUUUCAAAAAGUUACUUAUUUCUCCUCAUGAGCAAGUUUCUAAAUAUAUUUACAUGCGUUCGAAGAGGGAGUCAUUCAAUCCAAAAAUACUUAUUAAAUGACAACUUUGUGAACAUUAGGAGAUUCAAAGUUGUAUAAGAUAGUUUCUUCAACAGGCUUACAUUCUAAUUGCCAUUAUUUUUGUGUAUGUAGGAGGAAUAUAAAUCUUGUGGUUUGCUUUGAUAGACUGGUUAUUCAAAUUCUCACUCUACCCCUAAAUAGUGAAUUGACUGUGAGCAUAUUUUAAGCUUUCCGAGACUCAGUUUCCUCAUUUACAAAAUAGGGAAAAUAAGAGUAUACAAAAGGAUUUGGGGGAGGAUAAAAUAAGAUGUUUCUUAUUUACCAACAUGGUGGAUAUUUAAUGAAUGCUAGUUAUUCUUGUGAUGACAAGUGAUGAUUAAUAUUAAUGAUAAUGACAAGUGGUAUAAGAUUUUUUUGGAGGUGGGUUAUUUUUUAUCUAAAAAGCUAAGGAAAGGUUGUAGGGAAGAUAACAUCUUUGAGAUAGUCUUGUAAGAAUGGGUAGGGUUACCAAAGACUGAAGUAAGAUAUUCUUGCAGGGAAAAUGGAAUUAACACAAAGGUACUUUAGAAAAGACUUGAAGUGGGUUCAGACCAAACUGGAGAUACUAGAGUAUUAAAGAAAAAAUAACCAUCGUAAAAUGUUGAGAGCAAAGUUUUGUGAUCACACAAUUGUAUCUCACUUUUACUCUGUUAUCUUUCAGGCCAGACUACAGCUCUUGGUGAUAUAUUAUACUUCACCUUCUACCCUCUAUAGGUGUAAUCACCUGGUACAAGAUUGUAGGAAGCAUAAAGCUCAAAACUAGUUGAACUCAUCUAAUUAAAUAAUCCUAGAGCUUCACAUGUUUCCUGUGAGCUGUUGUAAGCACACAUUUGACUCCUUUCUGAAAGUUCAGAUUAAAAGGAAACAAACUUCUAAAAUUAGAAUUGUAAUUAAAAUUUGACUUUGAUCAGUAGCAGCUGAGAGGGUCAUUAAGAGCCUUGGAUGUGCUGACACAGGGUGUUGUUGGGUGGAUAAGGUGAGGAGGGAAGCGGGGAGAUUGGAAACAAGUAAAAAAUUGAGAAAAAGCAUUAUCGAAUUGCAAAUAUCAAUGAUUAUGGGUCUAUGGAUGAGCGAUUAUAAUAUUAAAAACAUUCUUGGCGGGCAGCCCGUAUGGGUGUAGAUAGCUGUAACUUCAUCAGAGCUUGGCUUUAAUUUGAUUUUUGCAAACAUGUUUUGGUUUCUUUUAUUUUGAUUGAUUUCAGAGAACACUGGACAACAGCUGGGUGGAAACUGCGUCUAACCCUCUGUGAAACUUUUCAAAAGAUGUUUUCUGCCUCCUGCAAAUCUUGGAACACACCAUCUCAGAAGGAGAUGUGUGAGGGACAGAGAAGAGAAAGUUGUGGGGAAUGGAUGGGUUCCCACACUGGGUAUAGAAAGUGAUAAGACUGAGCGCUGCCUUAUCCAGAACCAAGGAGCAGUGUUCAAAGAGGGAGAGAUGAAGGAGUUGAGAGCUUGCUUUUGUUUCCCUGAUAAAGAAUAAUUUAUUGCUGGCAUGAACAGUGAGGGUCAAUGUGGCAAAACAAUGCAAGAAAGAUAGUAGUUUUAGCUCUCUGUGAGACAGCUGUGUGUUGUGACUGCCAAAAAGACUAAUGUGAUCAUAGGUUCCAAUUAUUGAGAAUAGAACAAAAUGAUCAUUACCCUUUCUCUGCACCCUGGGAGUUACGUGUUCACUUUUGAGUGCCUGGAAUGCCCCAUUGUCUUCCUGGUGUAUCUCUAGUCAUUUUUCCAAAGCUAGCUAGCUCAAGCUCACCUCUUAACACCUUUCCUGACCCUACAUUCAUCAGGCAGAUUUAAUCAUUGCCAUCUCUUGUGGGCUCAAUUAUACUAGUAUGUUCAUUACUUUGCAUUGCUAUAUUCCUUAUAUAACCAUCUGCCCUGGAGGGCAGGGUCCACGUCCAAUCAGAUUUUGUACCCAUAGGACUUGGCACCUAGUAGGUGCUCGGUAGAUAUUUAUGGGAUUAAGUAGAACAGGCUAGCUGGAGCUUGUUUUGAGAUCAAGUAGAAAGGUGGGAGAACCUAAAAUCAUGUUGAAACCCAUCUGGAAUCAGGUCAUGCUUCAGUUAGCGAGUUGACUAGUAGCAGAUGUCUUCCCAACUGAUGGGGAAGGGCUCAUCCUCCCAUAGGAAGAACCGCAGGAAAGGUCUACAGAGUGACUGAAAAGAGACACUCCAAGGGAAGGCAGAAGUGACUCUACCAUGUCCCAGAAACAAGAAUGAGAGAGUUAUAUGCAAAGGGAGAAAACGAUUGUGUCAUGCAAAGAAAGGACUCAUGAAUUUUCUUUCUUCUUCCCCUUUAUUUAGCAAUAUGUGUCCAUAUAUUUUCAAAGGAAUUCAGACAGCCAAACACAUGACUGGAUUUAUGCCAGAAAUGGAAGCAUUUUCUGUGGCUCUCAGAAAGUAAUGCCAACAACUGAGGUCCCAAGGAUGAUGGACGCCAGAAACACCAUAUCAUUACAUCGAGAAGAAAGACUCAGUUUGCUGCUAGUAUUUCCUUAAAACAUCUCAACUCUCUCUCUCCCUCUUGAACAGAGCAAAAGCCAGCUCUGACUCAGAAUUCUCAGCUAACAACAGUAUCUAGCUACAACUUAACAAUAUUGUCUGACAAAAGUGGGAGAACUUCAUUUUUAGGUUCACCAUGCAAUGGAAGAUGGACAGUUCUUCAAAGGAAGUUUGAAGCUCUACUACUCUGCCCUCAGUGGUGUACUGGAACCAGACUGCAGUGGCUCAUGAGAGCCUAUGGUGAACACUUCUUUCCAACUCUGCCUUCAGUAACACCUCCCUAGGGGCUUGAAAGUGGCCAUGCUGGAUGUAUCAACACCAUGGAAGUAGGCAAAUGGUACAAAUCAGAACCUUUUCUUCAAAGAAGUAGUUGUUAAACAAUUACUAGCAUACCACUGCCUAUAAUCUAUUUCCUUCUUUUCACCUGGUAUUUUCUUUUUUCAUUAUUUUUAUUUUU